CAGUCGCCACGGGAAAACCAGCAGCCCAAGUGGUGGUCGCGCUUAUUGGGCCUAAAGCGCUCGUAGCCUGGCCGGUAAGUUCCCCGUGAAAUCGGGUCGCCCAACGAUUCGGCUUGCGGGGAAUACUGUCGGUCUUGGGGCCGGGAGACGCCGAGGGUACUCCGGGGGUAGCGGUGAAAUGCUGUAAUCCUCGGGGGACUACCAGUGGCGAAGGCGCUCGGCGAUAACGGGCCUGACGGUGAGGGGCGAAAGCUGGGGGCGCGAACGGGAUUAGAUACCCCCGUAGUCCCUGUCUCUUAUU
rnacentral:rRNA from 1 species